rnacentral:rRNA from 1 species
GAUGUACGCUGGCGGCGUGCCCAAUACAUGCCAGUCGAGCGAACGGACGAGAAGCUUGCUUUUCUGAUGUUAGCGGCGGACGGGUGAGUAACACGUGGAUAACCUACCUAUAAGACUGGGAUAACUUCGGGAAACCGGAGCUAAUACCGGAUAAUAUUUUGAACCGCAUGGUUCAAAAGUGAAAGACGGUCUUGCUGUCACUUAUAGAUGGAUCCGCGCUGCAUUAGCUAGUUGGUAAGGUAACGGCUUACCAAGGCAACGAUGCAUAGCCGACCUGAGAGGGUGAUCGGCCACACUGGAACUGAGACACGGUCCAGACUCCUACGGGAGGCAGCAGUAGGGAAUCUUCCGCAAUGGGCGAAAGCCUGACGGAGCAACGCCGCGUGAGUGAUGAAGGUCUUCGGAUCGUAAAACUCUGUUAUUAGGGAAGAACAUAUGUGUAAGUAACUGUGCACAUCUUGACGGUACCUAAUCAGAAAGCCACGGCUAACUACGUG